rnacentral:rRNA from 1 species
GAUGAACGCUGGCGGCGUGCCUAAUACAUGCCAGUCGAGCGAACAGACGAGGAGCUUGCUCCUCUGACGUUAGCGGCGGACGGGUGGGUAACACGUGGAUAACCUACCUAUAAGACUGGGAUAACUUCGGGAAACCGGAGCUAAUACCGGAUAACAUGUUGAACCGCAUGGUUCAACAGUGAAAGACGGUUUUGCUGUCACUUAUAGAUGGAUCCGCGUCGCAUUAGCUAGUUGGUAAGGUAACGGCUUACCAAGGCAACGAUGCGUAGCCGACCUGAGAGGGUGAUCGGCCACACUGGAACUGAGACACGGUCCAGACUCCUACGGGAGGCAGCAGUAGGGAAUCUUCCGCAAUGGGCGAAAGCCUGACGGAGCAACGCCGCGUGAGUGAAGAAGGUCUUCGGAUCGUAAAACUCUGUUAUUAGGGAAGAACAAAUGUGUAAGUAACUAUGCACGUCUUGACGGUACCUAAUCAGAAAGCCACGGCUAACUACGUG